GCCCGCUUGGCUCAGCGGUAGAGCGCCUCACUAGUAUUCCAACUAGGUCAUGAGGAGGCGACUGGUUCGACUCCAGUAGUGGGCA